rnacentral:lncRNA from 1 species
GGUUAUCCAGCCCUAGUAACAGAAUUAAAGAUUUCUCUAUUAGACACAGAGGUCAUACUAAUAAGAGGAUUUUGCAAGAUCAGAUGACAUUAAAUUAUUAAACUGUAUCCUAAGAAAAAGGACAUCUGUAACCCUAAACAUUAAAUGCUGUGUUUACAUCCCUGACGUUUCUGACAAUGUGACAAAUAUCCUUAAAGAUUUACAUGCUCAGAUAAAAGCCAUGUACUCAGCAACUUUGUCAUGGAAACAACAUCUUAGCUCCUGGUUCUUGGUACUUCCUGGUGGAAAACAU